CAAAGUCCGUCGUCAGAGAUAACAGUUGAUUGCAAACCCAUUCCCAAAGUUUUGAUACCCUGAUCAUGAAUACUGUUUACAUCUAUAACAUUCGAUCCCAAAAUGUUUUUAAGUUUUCCAGGUUUAGCCAUUACUUUAUGAGCUAAAUAAUGCCUAGGUUUACUUGGACGAUGAAUAUCACGAAAACCGCAAGAUGAAACAUUUUGGUAUAGACUUCCUCCAAAAUAUACAUUAAGGACUUGACAACCACGACAUAUUCCAAGGAUAGGGAUUUUUUUUUUGAGGGCAAAAUCAAUCAUUCCCCAUUCUGUGGAAUCUCUUAUCACAUCGACACUUUUGGGAGCAUUUGGAUCAAAAUCUUCUCCGUAUCGGUUUGGAUGCACCGAUUCACCACCAGCUAGUAUUAUACCAUCUAUAUUAGGUGGGAUACUGUUUCUUUGUAAUCCAGGAUAUAUGACAAUUGGACAACCACCUGCCUUGAUAAUUGCUUCUACAUACGGCUGUGAGUU